UGGGGAAUCUUGCACAAUGGGCGAAAGCCUGAUGCAGCAACGCCGCGUGCGGGAAGACAGCCCUAGGGUUGUAAACCGCUUUCAGCAGGGAAGAAACUGACGGUACCUGCAGAAGAAGAUGCGGCCAACUACGUGCCAGCAGCCGCGGUGACACGUAGGCAUCAAGCGUUAUCCGGAUUUAUUGGGCGUAAAGAGCUCGUAGGCGGUUCGGUAAGUCGGGUGUGAAAACUCUGGGCUCAACCCAGAGAGGCCACUCGAUACUGCUGUGACUAGAGUGCGGUAGGGGAGCGGGGAAUUCCUGGUGUAGCGGUGAAAUGCGCAGAUAUCAGGAGGAACACCAGUGGCGAAGGCGCCGCUCUGGGCCGUAACUGACGCUGAGGAGCGAAAGCAUGGGUAGCAAACAGGAUUAGAUACCCUGGUAGUCCAUGCCGUAAACGUUGGGCACUAGGUGUGGGUCUCAACCGAACGAGAUCCGCGCCGUCGCUAACGCAUUAAGUGCCCGCCUGGGAGUACGGUCGCAAGACU
rnacentral:rRNA from 1 species